GGCAGGGCAGGGCCGGGAUGGGGCCGGGAUGCGGCAGGUUAAGCGCGGAGCCGCUCUGCAGCACGGCCUGUGCGGGAGGCCCCGGCUGACAGCGCGGCAGCCGCGCGGGGUUCGGGGACACGCGGCCCGUCCUCCGCCAUUGAAAACCGGCCCGGCCGACGUGAACCGCGGCUCGCGCGCCUCGAUCGGAUUCCCUCGAGUGGGAGCGAAUCGAGUAACGGAGCGGCGAGGCCGUCGGCCGCUGUCCCGCUCGUCUCACCGUGCCGCGCGCUGCCCAUCCCGCCGCCGGCUCCCCCCGGCUCACCUCCUUCGCUGCGGCCGCAGCACUUCUUUCUGGGAUUCCCGCAGCAGCCGGUCGAACUCCACCACGUUCAGGCAGCGAGGGUCACCCUGCGGGGAACGGUAGCACGGCGUGCGGCUGCAGCAGGUUAAGGAUUCCCAGCUCAUGUACUGAUGGCCCUCACUGCUGUUGCCUUGGCAGGUUACACAGAUGGUCUCACCUUCCCAGCCAGGGUGGUGGCCCAUGCCUUAGCAGCAAAGCAGCAACUGAAGUCUCAGCAGCUAUGAGGACUGCACCCAUACGUAUUUCCUUGGCCAGUAAUGAAUCUUGCUCUCCUGCCUUUGUCACAUUCUUCUACAGUUUGUCAGCUUCCUAUCCCUGGGAGAUUCAGCUUGCUCAGCACGCUCUGCUGUGAAAAUCAGAGGGCUUGUUCCCCCUUCUGUGGGAGUCUGCAGUGAGCAGCCAUGGGCACAGGAAGGAAAUUUGUUCUUGGUAAGACUAUGGAAUGCACUCAGACCUAGAUAACUUUCUCUUGUGAUUUAACACCAGAAGGGAUCACUGGGACAGCUCUGUACAAACAGUGAACAACACCCAAUUAUUCUUGUCUAGACUAGAUCUAUGUUAGCGAAAGGCAGAGAAUCUACUUGCAAACACAUAGUUGAAGUGAACACAUGCAGAGCUCAAGGAAUGAAAUAAAGCUGCUUUCAGCAAGAAAGUAUUUGUCACCUAAAUAUUCCCAUGAGUAGGUAGAAAUAGAAGUAUUAUUUCUGCUCAACUGGGUGCAGAAACACAGCACUGCAUUUGACCACUUGCAUACUAGUGAAAAAGGGAGAAUGAGAGUGUAUUAACUGACCUGCAUUAAAACUGUGUAGCUUGUGAACAAAAGACAGAUCUGAUAUAACCAGAACAGGUUGCUCUGGCCACUCUGAGCAGGAAUUGUUUCACCUAAUUUAGGUGCAUGCAGAAACUUCUUUUGUAACCACCUCAGAGAAGUGCCUUGAAAGAGUGUCCAAGCAGUUUUACACGUGUGUCUCAGGAUGAGCUGAAUUUUCCCUUUUAUCCCACUUUUUAUUUCAGCAAGUUCUGUGCUGGGCCACCAGUCCAUGUCCACAAUCAACACAGUAGAUUUUAUGAGUUUUAUGAACACCCACCCUCAUUUUAGGAUUUGUACACCUAUUAUCAGUAACACAAGUUUGCAUGUAGAUAUCAUCACUAUGAUGGCUGCAAGCACUAAAAGCUGCUGCUGAGAGUAUGCAAUCUGGAGUGAUUCUUGGGAAUGUGCUCAACUGGUUUGUUUUUUAAGGAAAUGCAUUAAAAGGAAGUCCUGCUUCUAUGUCUUACUUGAAGCUUAAUACUGUGAAAGGCCAUUCUGUAUCUGUGGCUUCUGGGGUUUUCCAGGGAGACAGUUUUAGUUGCUGAUGAAAAUGGCAGUGCAGGAUCUGUGAAUCCACAGAGGGAGAAAUGGGAUGUCCCCCAGCACACUGUUCCAAGUGGUCUGGAUCCUGCCUUGGCCACAUGCUCCUCUAACUUUCCCCAUAACAACUCACUCAUCACAUACUCUCUGUUUUCAGUCUGCCCUUGAAACUAAUUGCCAUGGCACUGCUGGAGCCUGGUUCCCGACAUUGUUACUGCACUGUUUGCACCCAGCCACCUCACAAAGUCCCCGAAGUAUCUCACCUUCCCUGCAAUGAGCUUAGCCUGCAGCUCCCGGCACUCCUGCUGCAGAGCUUCAAUCUGCUUGUCUUUUGCCAGAAGAGCACUGGCUUGCUCUGUCAAGUCCUUGGCACGCUGGCGGGCAAAUGCUUUUUUACACAGCUCCAGGCUGGAACCCUUCAGGGGCACUGGAGCAGUUACCUAAACCCAGAGAGAGCAGCAAGAGAGAAAGCCACAUACAUUGGUAUUUUUCACUCAGAGGGUGGUGGUGCACUGGAACAGGUUGUCCAGAGAAGUUGUGGAUGCCCCAUCCCUGGAGGCAUUCAGGGCCAGGCUGGAUGUGGCUCUAGGCAGCCUGGUCUGGUUGGUGACCCUGCACACAGCAGGGGGUUGGAACUGGAUGAGCACUGUGGGCCUUUGCAACCCAGGCCAUUCUAGGAUUCUAUGAAUGAUGUCGGCCAACUAUCACCCCAGGUGUCAUCAGAGACCAGGGCCAGGACAUGCAGCCUAGCCCCAAAAGACAGAGAGAGGAGCAAAACAGGCAUAUGGAAAAGUCAGAGGAAAGAGGAAAUGCUUCUUCGAGGAGCAGAUCAAAGCAGAAGUGGGAAGGAGAAGGUGAGGUGAGCAGAUGAGGCCAACGCACACACAGACAGUACAGAGGGCUGCAGGCAGAGAGAGGAGAGGAAGACAGGAUGAAGGGAGAAAUAUGGGGAGAGGAGGAGAAGAGAAUGGCAGGGAAGAUGAGCAAAGGGUGGAGGAGGCUAAGCCAGGAGGAGAAAUGGAGCUGUCUUUGAAAGACAGUGGGAAAGAGCUUAUGCAAGGAUGGGUGGAAAAGACAGUCAAAAGGAGAGGUGAGGGAGAGCCUAGCCAGGGCCAGAACAGCUGAUGCUGCCCGGCUGCAGUCACCUGAGGAUGACAGCUCUCAGUAGGAGCCGUCCCUAAAGCCAGCUCUCCAUGGGGUACCAGCACCACAGGUGGGCACCCUGCAUGUCCUGAGCUGGCCACUUGGUUUUCCUAGGGCUCACCCAGGGCUCAAACAGCCACCAUCCCAAACUUAAACACAAGAAAAAAAAAUGAAACAGCAUUUGUGAAGUUCCUGGAGGGUCUGCAUAGCUGUUGGUUGUAUAGCAAAUGAUUUUUCUUGGCACAGUACCUGACAAGUCCAUCUGGCAGCAACUGUUGUGCUGCAAGUACCAAAACCCUGUGACAGACGUGUUCCUAGUGCAGUGCAGGGCCCAGGGACAGAGAGGGCAGGCAAUGCCAGGAAAAUCCCCUACCUUCCCCUACCAGCAAAGCUUUUGCUUCUUCUUUCUAUCCUGAAGGGCUUGAAUUUCCCCCCUACCCCCGGUUUCCUUCCAGUGGGAGAACAUUUUUCCCCUACUCUGCUGCAAGCUACCUUUAUGUAGCUCGUGCAGAUGUUUGUCUGCAAAGCACCAUAUCCUGCAGCCAUCUCCCUCUACUCCUGCACCACAUCAGAAACUACUGGGUUUGCAAAAAGCUCCUCUUCAGUUUGAGAAAGAAAAAAACACACCACUUGCACAGAAAUGCUAGUGAGGUGUGCACGAGGCAGAGCAGAAUAUCUCACCCCUUCCUGUUUUGCUUUACCACACUCCUUUUCUUAUUUAAAUACUUCCUGUUUCUUUUCGAUGAAGUCAGAUGAGUUAUUUUCAUGACUAGCCCAGGGAAAGCUGAGCUAAUUACCUAAAUUAAUACUUUACAUUAGAUUGGCACAUUUACAGCAAGAAACCAAUUAGGAGGAAAUUGCUCAAAACCAGCUCCCCAAGCACGAGCUGAAGAAGCUGGUGAUGGUUCUUUCCUCAGUUCAGUUUUGUGGUUUUUGCUCUGUCGCUGGUGUACAAAGCAAGUUUGCUGCAUGGCCUCGCCAGGUUAAUUAAAGAGGAAAGAGGAGGCCUUUCUGUCCCAACAAAAGCAAAAAACAAGAAGUCCUGGGGGCAAGGUGCUCUCCUAGGCUCAGGCCCCAGCACAGCAGAGGCUCAGCACUCACGACUUUGAGGUUGGCCUCCUGCAGUUUUCGGGCUCUCUCCUCCAGUCGUUUGGCGAUCACCGCCAGCUCUGCGUUUUUCCUCUUUAGGUGCUUCACCUUCUCCUCCGUCUCAGGGAAGCAGCUCCUGCGCUGGAUAACAGAAGGAGAGGGCCAAGGCACAGCCAAGAAGUCACAGAGCCAAGUGCUGAUCAGGCUGCGUAGCCCAUUGCUCUGGUCCCAGGUUCUGCAGCACCACUGGUCCCAUCCCUGCUGCUUUACAGGCACAGCAUGUGUCCCAGAGAAAAUUUCCAUCUCCAGAAACAGCAGAGCCCUUCCUGGCACCCAGGAAGGGGACACUGUGCGUCCGACAGGGCCAUGGAGCAGGGCAGGGGCACAGAGGGGUCCAGUCAGUGUUUUCCAGGCAAGCUCAGCAGAGCUGUGGGCUGGUUCAGCAUGCCAUCCCUAAGGCUAGGAGGGCAGCCCUUGGGAUGAAGUCAGAGUGCAUUAUUUCCACCUCUUUGCAGCUGCCAAGAAGAUUCAAGCUUUUCAUCUUUGCUUUCCGGCGCCCAGCAAGGCCAGGCAUGCUCAGCCUGGGGCAGGAUCUGGGUGGCUGUGGAGCAGCCAGAGUGCCGUAUCCUGUCCCCAGCAGCAGCCAGGCUUGUGGCACGUCAGCACAGUGCUUCUGCAGGGACAACUGGUACUUCCAGAGACUCUAGAAGGGAUUCUGCUGGGAACCAACCCCCUUAUGGGCCCAUUUCAGUCUUUGAAACCUCUUUUCUGUAGCUAAAAACAGCUAAAACCCAGGAGCCUGCAAUGAGCUCCUGAGUGCUGCCCUGAGCCCUGCCCCAGGCUGGGUCAGCCCACAGCUUGGCUGUCCCCAGCUCCUAGGACCCUCUAUAGCCUCAGGGCCUCACCAGGAGAGGCACAAGGGGCGGCAGCAGCAAUGUGGUAUCAGGGGACCUUCCCUGUAGCACUGCAGCUCCUGAGAAAGCUUUGUCACCUCCUCCUGGCACAAGAUCGGGGCAGGGCUGGCUGCCUGGGCUGAGUCUUCCUCGCACACCACAUGGCCAGCACCGACCGCCUGUCUAGACGUCAUCCCACACUCAUUAAACAUUCAUUUCCCAUAAUGAAA